AUCACCUUAUGCAACCUGCUACUACCAAAUAUUAUUAUUACUAGAUUUUAACCUGCGGUAUACCGCGGGACAAUUUUUUUUUUUAUAAGUAAUAUAUAUUAAAACUUGCAAAUUUUAUUUUUAUAA
rnacentral:sRNA from 1 species